rnacentral:rRNA from 1 species
GACGAACCGAGCGAACGUUGUUCGGAAUCACUGGGCUUAAAGGGCGCGUAGGCGGGCUGUCAAGUUUGGGGUGAAAUCCCGCGGCUCAACCGUGGAACUGCCUCAAAUACUGACGGUCUCGAGGGAGGUAGGGGCGAGCGGAACUGAUGGUGGAGCGGUGAAAUGCGUUGAUAUCAUCAGGAACUCCGGUGGCGAAGGCGGCUUGCUGGACCUUUUCUGACGCUGAGGCGCGAAAGCUAGGGGAGCGAACAGG